UACGAAGGGGGCGAGCGUUGUUCGGAUUUACUGGGCGUAAAGGGCGCGUAGGCGGUCAGCACAAGUCAGUUGUGAAAUCUCCGGGCUUAACUCGGAAAGGUCAACUGAUACUGUGCGACUAGAGUGCAGAAGGGGCAACUGGAAUUCUCGGUGUAGCGGUGAAAUGCGUAGAUAGUCGAGAGGAACACCUGCGGCGAAGGCGGGUUGCUGGGCUGACACUGACGCUGAUGCGCGAAAGCCAGGGGAGCGAACGGG
rnacentral:rRNA from 1 species